rnacentral:lncRNA from 1 species
AUCAUAUACAUUUGUAGACAUUACUUUAUGUUAUGCAUUUCAGUAUGCGACAUAUUGUCUUUGUGGAAAUAACUUAGAAAACAAAAAGUAUCCAAGGGUACAGGAAUCAGAUUGUAACAUGCCUUGUGCUGGUGAACCAAAUCGAAUGUGUGGAGGUGGCUAUAGAAACUCGAUUUAUUUAGGUAACUAAAUCAAAUGAAUAGUUUGCAUAUCAAUUAUAAUGAAAUUUUGUAGAUUUAUAUAAUCAAAAUAAGGAAUUAGAAAUAACACUUUAGAAAUGGCAUGAUUUUCAAUGAGAAAAAAUAUCCAUCGGAGACAAAAUUAUGUGGAUGAAAGCGACAAAAGAUAAUUGUACGGCUUUUAAUUAUGAACAAAACCAAUAUCGUAUGUAAAUCUAUUGUGUUUACCUGUUAAAUUCCAGAUAUAAUAAAUACAUUUUUAAAUGUAUUUGCAUUGAUAAAAUCAUUUAGAUAAUUCAGUUCGGAACUUGUAUUACAUUAUAGGUAAUGACUGUUUAGGCGUUCUGAUUGCUUCGAAAACCAGUACGUUGACUCAAAACUUAUUAAAUGGAAACAAAAAUCGAUUUUUUUUGGUUAAUUAAUUUAAAUUCUAAUACAUAUAUAUUUGUUUUUCAGUUAAACCCUAAGCAAAAAAAGAAAUGAAGAAAAUACACAGAGAUCAGUAUCAAAAUAAAGCGAUAAUACUUUAAUGUUGUUGUUUGUUGAUAUUAUUGCAUGCUUUUAAUAUACAAGG